rnacentral:rRNA from 1 species
GAAGUCGGUGGGGUAACCUUUUUGGAGCCAGCCGCCUAAGGUGGGACAGAUGAUUGGGGUGAAGUCGUAACAAGGUAGCCGUAUCGGAAGGUGCGGCUGGAUCACCUCCUUUCUA